GUUUGUGGGUUUUUUUUUUCUUUGGGUUUUCUGGCCGGCGGUGGUUUUCAGUGGUGGUGGUGGUGGUGGUUUCCGGUAUGGGGUGGAUUUGCAGUGGAGGAUGCUAUGGUUUUUUGGAUUUGGGUCUUGAUGCUAUGGUUUGGCUAGGUAUUAUGGCUGGUGGUGGUAGUAGCAGAUCUGAGGUUAGAGAGGGAGAGUGGGGUUUUGGCUGUGAGAAUCAAAGGAACCACCAAGAGGGAGAGUGGGAGAGCAGGUCUGUGAGGAAGAAAGACAAGAAAUGAAAAGUGUAACGGAGGGUUAAGAGGGAUAACGGUGUAAGGGUUUUUUUGUCUUUUAAGGACCAAAUUGAUCAUUUUCAAAAUAUCUUGGACCUAACUGUAAUUAACCCAAACCUCAGGGUGUUUUCUGGAAUUUACCCUAAUAAUAAUAAUAAUAAUAAAAGUACUCGCAAGUGGGGAAUCAAUGACUUGUGCCACGCUAAACACUAGAUAAAGGCACCUGAGAGUUGAGAGUAGCCCAGAAAGAAAAUUUCAACUGGAUUUCGAGCAUUGCAAUCAAUACUACUGCUACUAAGGGCAUUUUGACCUUUUAGGGAUGAUGAAGAACUUGAGAGAGGAAAACCUAUUUCACCAAAGCUCUUGAAAGCAAUAGAAGAAUCGAGGCAUGAGUCAGAAUUUAUACAACACAUUGUGAAAGAGAUGAUGGAUAAAUUGAGUUCAAAAUCCUCAAGCAUUACCAAAAACUUUAUAGGAAUACAAUCUACUGUGGCAAAAUUGAUCCCUUCGUAUUUAGGUUUUGAGAAUAAUGUUUACAUUAUUGGGAUUUAUGGUAUGGGAGGAUUGGGAAAGAUAACUCUUGCUAGCUUUAUUGCUAAUGUUAGGAAGAUUUUAAAAAAACACGGGCUUCCUAGAUUACAACAGCAGCUUCUUGCAAACAUUUUGGAGGACAGAAAAAUAGAUAUAAGGAAUGUUUAUGAAGGAGUUGAAAUGAUUAAGAAAAUGUUGUCAUAAAAAAGUUCUUCUUAUUAUAGAUAAUGUCAACCAAUUGGACCAAUUAGAAAAAUUGGCUGGAGAGUUUGGAUUGGGGAGUUGGAUCAUCAUAACAACUAGAGAUGAACAUGUGUUGGUCCAACAUGGAAUACUUAAAAGAUAUAAGCCUAACGUAUCAAAUAAUGACGAUGCUUCAAAACUUUUUUGUUUGAAAGCUUUGGAAAUGGAGGAACCCAAAGAAAAUUAUAUGCAGCUCUCCCGGAAAGUUGUAGAAUAUGCUAGUGGCCUUCCGUUAGCUGUUAUUACUUUGGGUUCCUUUUUGGUUGGAAGAACAAUAGAUGAAUGGCAAAGUGCAUUGGACAGUUUCAAAAAAUACGAAAGGAGAAAUAUUUGAUAUACUUCAAAUAAGUUACGAUGGACUAUAAGAAAUGUGGAAGGAGGUAUUUUUGGAUAUUGCAUGUUUCUUUAGAGAGAAGAAGAAACAUAUAGGAAUACAAAUAUUAGAGAAUUGUGGUUUUGAUGCAAUAAUUGGUAUAAGUGUUCUUGCGGAAAAAUCUUUCCUAACCAUAGAUGACAACGAAAUUUUGGGGAUGCAUGAUCUACUAAAAGAAAUGGGUGAAAAAAAUUAUUUCUAGAAUCAGGUGGAAAGCUUGGAAAGCAGAGUAGGUUAUGGCUUUUUGAGGACUUGCUUCGUGUAUUGGAGAAAGAUAUGCAGAAGAUAUUCAAGCCAUAGCUACAUACGGGAAAGAGGAUUUCAACUUUGAAGAAUUUCCUGAAGUUUUUUCAAGGAUGUCUAAACUUAGAUUGCUGAUUAUUGAUGGGCAGCGCAUCCCAAAUGCUCUCAAUCAUGUUCCUGAUGACCUAAGAUAUCUUCCGUGGAGCUUCUGUUCUUUAAAAUGUUUGCCAUCCAGUUUCCAACCAAAGAAGCUUGUUCAACUUGACUUGCGGAAGAAGUAAUGCAUUCAGUCAAGCAAAAGUUCACUGAUCUUGUUGUUCCAAAAGCCUUAUUAGGACACCUGACUUUUCAGGUGUUCCGAGACUAGGGGGACUAAAACCUUCAUGGUGCGACAGUUUGGUUGAGAUCCACCCAUCUAUUGGACAACUCAGCAGGCUUAGGUACUUAUAUCUGCAAGGCUGUGAAUCUCUUACUGAUCUUCCCAGCAUGUCUGCUGAAAUGCAGUCCCUUAUAAUCUCAAAUUUCUUCCAAGCAACAUGGAUGAUUUGAAGUCUCUUGAAAAACUCAUUUUUUGUGGAUGCUCAAAACUAAAAUGAUUGAAAAUGUUCCCAUCAACUGUAAGAUAUAUAAAUGCUCAAUUUUGUUUUUCCCUAAAACCGUCACCAGCAUUGGUCAAACUGAGUAGCUUGUCACAACCUCGCUCCCAGACAUGUCUGUAUGAUGAGAGCAGCAGUGAACUGGCAUUUACAACAUUGUACCAUUACCUACAAGUAAUCUCUUCUCUCUCUCUCUCUCUCUCUCUCUCUCUGUUAAAUAAUAGUUACCUACAGGCUACAACAAUAGUUGUGUUUUUGGCACGGGCUCCUUUGCUGUAAAACCGAUUAUGAAAGGACCAAAAGAAAAGAGGAUGUAACUAUAACUGAAUUUCAGAUAAUUGUUUGUGGGUUUGAAAUUCCUUCAUGGUUAACUCAUUAAAGUGUGGGGAAUUCAAUAAGCAUGGAGCUACCUUUUGGUGUAAUAGUAAAUGGAUGGGAUUCACUAUAUGUGCAUCAGUAUCAGCGGUAUUUGGCGUUAGAGUUCGUGUGAUAGCCCUUGGUGAUAUGCCUCUGAACUUUUCACUAUGUAGAUGCAUUGUGAGGACAGUAUAUGGCUAUUUUAUUUGUCUCAUGAUGAUUGGUUUGCUACUGUUGGGAAUGGAGAAUGCAGUAAGAUUAAGGUUAUAAUUGAGACCUAUGACUCAGCCAUUCAUGUACGUGAAUGUGAGGUCAAUUUGGUAUACGAGCAAGAUGUGGACGAGUUCAACAAAAUGCACAAUGUUUGAUUGAGAGCUUUGAUGGUGAUGAUGGUGAUGGUGGUGAUGAUAAUGAUGAUUGAAAUGACUGCAGAAGAUGGUGCUCAUUUUUGUUUUUUUUCAUAGGAUGAAUUUUAAUUAAGGCUUUGGCAAGUUGACCCUUUAUCCCCUUUUCUCUUUGAUAUUGUCAUGGAGGCCUUGAGUCGUAUGUUGGUUGUAGCUAUUGCAACAGGGCAGUUUUCGGGCUUCAUAGUGGGGAAUGUGACUGGUUCCUUGAUGACGGUGUCUCACCUUUUGUUUGCGGAUGACACUUGUUUUCUGUGAUGCUGAUAGCAAUCAUAUAACAGCUUUGCGUGGGAUUCUCUCUAGAUUUAAGGAGAUGUCAGGGCUAAAUAUUAAUUUAGGAAAGUUUGAAUUGGUUCUAGUUGGGGAUGUACCUAAUCUUCAUGAGCUAGUGGAGAUUUUGGGCUAUAGGGAGUCGGUUCUUCCGUUGAAAUAUUUAGGUCUUCUAUUGGGUGCUUCUUUUAAAGAUAAGACAAUUUGGAAUCCUAUUUUGGAGAAGAUGGAGCGAAGGCUAGCUGGUUGGAAGAAGUUGUAUUUAUCUAAGGGGGAUACGGUUACCCUUAUUAAGAGUACUCUCUCUAGCCUACCUACGUAUUUCCUUUCUCUUUUCCCUAUCCCAGGCAAGGUGGCUUAGAGGAUGGAGAAAUUACAAAGGGACUUCCUUUGGACUGGUAUGGGGGACGAGCAUAAGAUUCACUUAGUAAAUUGGUCUAAGAUAUGUAGGCCAGUGAAGUUUGGAGGGAUAGGCAUUAGGUGUUUGAGAAGGUUUAAUUCUGCCUUAUUAGCCAAAUGGUUGUGGCGCUAUGGUUUGGAGAGUGAUGCCCUUUGGAGAAGGGUCAUUGGGGUGAAGUAUGGGAAUGAGUGGGGUGGUUGGUGCACAAAAUCUAUGUCUAGGGCAUAUAGUGUUUGUUUGUGGAAGUUCAUUUGGAGUGGUUGGGGGAAUUUUUCCAAGUUCAUUCGGUAUGAAGUGGGUGGUGGAACUCGUGUGAAGUUUUGAGAUGAUGUGUGGUGUAGGGAUCGUCCUCUUAAGGAGGCGUUUCCAGAUUUAUAUAAUAUUAGUAGGACAAGGGAUGCUUCGAUCUCGGAGGUUAUGUGCUUUGUAAAUGGGAGAGUUUCUUGGGACAUUCAGUUUCGUCGUUUAGUGAAUGAUCAAGAGUCACAAUCUUUGGAUUCGUUUAUGGUUUUGAUCUAUUCCACAAAGGUGCGAGGUGUUGGUUCUGACAAUCUUUGUUGGAAGCCAGCCAGCAGUCGAGGUUUCAAGGUGAGUGGGUAUUAUCAUUCUAUUUCCUCUUCUACUGGCAUUUCUUUCCCUUGGAAAAUGGUGUGGCAAUCGAAGGUUCCUCCUCGGGUAGCUUUUUUCUCUUGGAUUGCAGCUCUAGGCAAGAUUCUAACUAUAGACAACCUUUGGAAGAGGCAUUUUGUUGUCCUUGAGUGGUGUUUUAUGUGCAAAAGGUGUGGGGAAUCUGUAGAUCAUCUCCUCCUUCACUGUCCUAUAGCUUAUGAGAUGUGGAGUAUGAUCUUUUGCUUGUUUGGUAUUUGUUGGGUGAUGCCUCAAAGGGUAAUGGAUUUGUUGGAUUGUUGGACAUGCAAUUUCAGGCGUCAUCGUAAUAUAGUUAUUUGGAGGCUUGUGCUGCACUGUUUGAUGUGGUGUAUCUGGCGGGAACGGAAUUCUAGAAGUUUUGAGGGUCGUGAACGGUCCAUCUUUAUGUUAUUUGGAGGCUUGUGCUGCACUGUUUGAUGUGGUGUAUCUGGCGGGAACGGAAUUCUAGAAGUUUUACCAUCUUUUUCUUGUUUUUCCCUUCCUGAGUUGCUAGAUCUUUGUAAUUUGGUUUCUUGAUGUUUUUGCCUUUUUGUACAUUUCCUCUGUAUUGGGCUGUGUAUCUUAAUGUUACUUCUCUUGAGAUUGAGCUGGAUGCUAAAGCUAUUGUGGACAUUUUGAACAAAUUAGACUAUGUGAAUAAUAUUAUUUCUCCUAUUCUGGACGACUGCAGAUUGUUAACUUCCCGUAUUCCUCAGGUUCACGUUAAGCAUUGCUUUCGUCAGGCGAAUAGAUGUGUGGAUAGCCUUGCUAGAAUGAGUUUUAGUUUAGAUUGUGUUUUUUCUUCUUUUCAUUAUCCGCCUGUGGACUAGUUGGAUGUGUUUGAGGAUGAUCUCAAUGGGGUGUAUAUUAACAGGCUGUGUCCUGUUCCUGUUGUUCCCCUUUAGUUGGUUUUAAUGAAUCGUCUUUCACCAAAAAAAAAAAAUGUAUUGGGCUGUGUGUUUUUUAAUAAAAUUUUUAUGUUACUAAUCAAAAAAAAAAAAAAAUUUGAGGCUUUGGCAAGUAGAUGUGCACAUGCAUUUCAAUCAGGCUAACCAUGUUUUAAUGAAGUUGUAUUUGGUUCAGUUACAAUGAUUUGGAAACUUGUUCAAUUGGCAUAUCAGUGCAUCUUAUUUUAAAAUGGAAAUAGAGAUGAAGAUCUACUUAUACAAGGGAUCUAGGUCUAGGCAGAUAAUGAGUUAAAUGGUUUUACUAAUAAUAUUUCUUGUUGGAUGAAUUUCAAGUGAGUUGUGCUAUUGGAUUGCAUACAAACCAGGUAACUUUGUUACAUUUCUCUGUUCUAUAUGGAUUUGAGUUAAUGUCUAUGAGACAGUGAUUUGUGAAUUUUGAAGCAGAACUUUAAGGUUAUAAGUUUUUAUCAAUCUAGCCAUAGUAUGAAAUAAACAUUAAUUUUAGUAUUCAGUCUUGAAUAUUUUCCUUGCAGUUCAAAAAUCGCAAGUUUCAAACGAGUUCACUUCCAUUAAACUAUGUGCUAUUUUCUACAAUGCAUCAAGGGUUGUUAUAGGGCGUGUCUGGCAACAUUUAGGAGCCUAGUUUGCAGUCUAGUAUAUAUAUUUUUGGCAUUCGUUGUACACUUGAGAGGGAAAGUCCUUUGGAUCAGAUUCUUGACAGGAUCUAUUGAACAAGCAUUUCUUCUUGCUCUUGGAACAAAUUUAACUAAUAGGCAAAAACAGAUUAAUGGGCAAUCUUUGGAGUUGUUCCUUUCUUUAAAGUUGCUUCCCUAACCUAUCAUUUCCCUCUUAUCGUGCAAGUAUGUUCAAUUUACUUAAUGGGCACUCAAAAUACAAGUGUGCUCUACAUUCCAGGCUUUCUUGUAGAAUACAUAAUUUAGAUCACUUGUGUAACCCCAAUGCAGCAUUCUGUCUAGUGCCUAUUCUAUUACUCAUUACUAGCCAACAACAGAAUGCACGUCUUGUAAUAGCUUGAGAGAAUCAGAUGAUUUUCCCUAGCUGAUUUUUACUUUUAUUUUCUUUCUACUUUCUUUAGUUUAUUUUUAAUGAAAUUUCUUAUUCAUAAAAGAUUUUUUUUUUUUCUUUUUAAAUGAAGAGAGAGAGUGGAAGGGACUCUCACCAAAGUUACUCCACCUUUAGGUUCUUUACAAUUUGACCAACCACUUCUUGAUUAUGGCUUGCCACUUAUUGGACUUGAUUGUUCAGACCAACCAUUUGUGCUGUCAAAUGGUGGCUUCAGCUUUCUUUACAUUCCAAUCGCUUCUGCAUUUGUGCCAAUGCCCUGCUUUCAUCAGCGUAGAUUAGAAGUCAGACCUUUAGAUUUACCAAUCGCUAAUGAAAUAUAUGUAUCCAUAGUAAAGCUGCAAAAUUGCUCAGCUCAAUCCAGUAUUGGGCUAUCGAAACUUUGGUCAUGUUGAAACUAGACUACCUUUGUCCUUGACUGAACCUCAGCUAGUCUGCUUAGUCUGUGUUUUAUGUUGGUUUGAGCUCAUUCUUGUUCACAAGCCUAAGUGAACUUUAUUAACUAGCCUGAAAUCAACAACAUAAAAUCUGUUAAUUUACUAAUACAAAUUAGCAAUCCGAAAGCAUAAUUCUUUGUCACUGAUGUUUGUUUUUUUUAUAUUCGCCAUUGAUGUAUAUCAUCAUCACAUCAUAAUUAUAAUUGUACCAUAGAUGUCUUCUGGUUUGAGAAUCUGAUAUGUCAGACUAAGAGAUAUAAUUCAGGCAUCAUGAUAAGUGAAUUUUUGUGGCUGCUAAGCAGUGUGUGGGAUGGCUGGUGCAUUAAGGGCUUUAUACGGACAAGCCAAUGAGGCAGAGCUAUUCCUUCUGCAUAUGGGAGUUCUUUCACUUUUCUGUUCCUUCUGCUGGAAUGGUUUUGUAAUUCUUUUUUGUUCUUUCUGUCAAGAAAAUGGUAGUCUUCAUUUUUUGGCUACAUAUAUUAAGUCUAUUCACAUUUUGUUGCAUGCCAAUCAUUAUAGUAGGCUUCUAAUUUCUCACUGUAUGCAGCUUGGCAAUUAGUUAAACGUGUUUUCUUACUCCUGAACUUGUUUAUGUAUGGUAUACAAUUGUUUUGAAAAAGAAUGCAUCAAACACUUUGUAGCACUCAAGCUUCAAAUGAGUUGGGACUUGGGAGGUGGGAAUCCACAAGCAGCUAAAAUGACUGUCAAGAUCAUAAUGGUUCUUGUAAUUGCAGAGAUGGUUAUCGUAGGCAUGAUUCUCUUCAGUUGCUGCUAUGUUUUGGGCCAUGCCUUCAGCAACGAGAAGGAAGCUGUGGAUCUAUUGCAAAUAUGGUCCCCUUUAUUUGUCUCUCAAUAAUCAUGGAUGGCUUACUAGCAGUGCUUUCAGGGGUUGCUAGAGGACGUGGCUGGUAGCAUAUAGGAGCUUAUGACAAUUUUGGGGCAUGUUAUCUGGUUAGGGUUCCAUUAGUUGUUUUUUUGGCCUUCGUUGUACACUGAAGAGUGAAAGUAGGCAUGUGUAGACACUCGACGGUCUCUCACAGCAUGUAGAUUGGACUAUUGACAUGGUCUACUGUGCAAGCAUUUCUACUUGCUCUUAAAACAAAUUUCACAAAU